rnacentral:rRNA from 1 species
GACGAACGCUGGCGGCGUGCCUAAUGCAUGCAAGUCGCACGCGGCACCUUCGGGUGCUGAGUGGCGAACGUCUGAGGAACACGUGGGGACCUGUCCGGGAGUGGGGGACAACACCGCGAAAGCGGUUCUAAUCCCGCAUACGCUCUGAGGAGGAAAGCCGAAAGGCGCUCCCGGGUGGCCCUGCGGCCCAUCAGGUUGUUGGUGGGGUAACGGCCUACCAAGCGAAUGACGGGGCGCUGGUCUGGGAGGACGACCAGCCAGACUCGGAGUGGGACACGGCCCAGACUCCUACGGGAGGCAGCAGCAAGGAAUUUGCGGCAAUGGGCGCAAGCCUGACCGAGCAACGGCGCGUGAAGGAAGGCGGCCUUCGGGUUGUAAACUGCUUUUGCUAGGGAUGAUAACAGACAGUACCUGGCGAAUCAGCCCCGGCUAACUCUGUG